AGGUUGUUAUGCUAAGUGCCCAGAUAGUGCUCCUUACCUGGAUGAGAACACCAUGAAAUGUGUCGGUUUAUCUGAGUGCAGCUGUUUCUAUAAUGAUGUCAUACCAGCAGGGGGAGUGAUUGAAGAUAAUUGUGGAAGAACAUGCUACUGUAUUGCAGGGCAGUUGGUGUGCAGUGAAACUGCUCCUACCAAUUCAACAUUUGCAGGUA
rnacentral:lncRNA from 1 species